GGUCAAUACAACAACAUAGGCAAAGUUUAAGGAUUUUGGCUUCAUUUUCAUCUAGUUCAUUGCCCUACUAUGACUAGUCAAAACUACAAAACAAUAAUACGGAUCGUAGUAUUUCUUGUAUUAAAAUAAAUCUAUGUCGUUUGACCUUAUAGUCAACUUCGCACAAGUUUUCCAACGGGUUACGUUCAGUUACUUAUAUCACCUCCUUGACUUUAUUUUUAAAACUGUUCAAAUCAAGUAGGCGGCAGAUAGUAAUAUAACCGCAGAUAUAUUUUAAUCUAAAACAAAUCAGGAAAUGUUAAUUUUCUCGCCAAAGAAUAAAUAUUCAACCAAAUAGUUAUGAAUGAGUUUAUUAUACAUAAAUUACUACAUAUAUAAUAUUAGGAUAUAAUUUUUAAUGUAGGGCCGGCGAUAACGGGCCUGCAAGGGAUGCACUCCAGGCUGGCGCUCCAGUUUGGGGGGCGCCAUAAUGAACUUUUUUGUUCGGGUAUUAUACAAAAUAGUAAUUUUAAAAAACCUAAGGGCGCCUAUGCUAGUUUUGCAGGCGGGCGCCUUAUACCCUAGCGCCGGUACUCAUAUUGGCCCUUACGGGAUGUUUGAAUGUUUCUAAAAAUAAAAGAGUAGCCGAGUACUUUAUCGGUACCUAUACAUACCUACCCAAUUUCAGGAGAGGCCCUCUGAAGGCCCCGUCUCACCAUCAAAUAAUUGACAGUUAUUUGAUCAAACUUGACAGUCAAACUUGACUAGUGACACAAACUAUACAUACUAACUGUCACUUUGUGUCACUAACUGUCAAGUUUGAUCAAAUUAACUGUCAAUUAUUUGAUGGUGAGACGGGGCCUUGAGUUAUGUCUAUAAACGAUUUAUAAAAAUAAGUAAACUCAUUUAUCACGAGGAUGUCCUAGAUUUAUUUUAAGUCCUCGUCCUAGCUCCUAGGACGUCCAAGAACAGUGUCUCGAUAUAAAAGCAUGUACCUAAACAUUGUAAAAUAAUAGUCAAAUUUAAAUAGAAUUGUCUAACUAAAUAAGUAGGUAUCUAAAUUAACAAAAAUUAAAACUUGAUGCACACAAUAACAAUCUUUGAAACGAUAACAAUUAAAAGACAAAAUAUUCUGUAAUACUUUUCAUUUAAAAACUUCUGGUGCAGAGUAGUUACCUAUACAGAGAAAAUAAAUAGAUGGAAAGAAUAUAUUAUAAAAGAGCUAUGUUUUUAACACGACGAAAUAAUGGAGACAAUGAGUAGAACUAAGAGGUAGAAAUGGAUCUACAAUUACUAAAGAGGAAAGUGAAAAAGCACUAAAACGUAUAAAAAAUGAUAAAGCCAUGGGACCGGAUGAAAUACCUUCUGAAAUAGGUACAGAAAUUUUAAGAUUACUAACAGAGAACCACAUAGAUAUAACUAUGAGUAGUAGAAUUCGUAGUAGAAUUAUUCAACGAAGUUUACUGCAUCCCAAUACCUACCCAAAAAAUCCAAAGCAAUGAAAUUUGAGGAAUAUAGGAUGAUCAGUUUGAUGAACCAUGUUUUAAAAGUUUCCUUGCGAGUGAUCCAUGAAUGUGUCUACAAAAAACUAGACGAUAGCAUAACUAACAGGAAACCAACUGGGAGAGAGGCAUUAUUUACCAUACAUGUAUAACUAACAGGAAACCAACUGGGAGAGAGGCAUUAUUUACCAUACAUGUGACUUAUUCACAGGGCUGCUUUAUCCAUUAGGCAAUAUAGGCAGCUGCCUAGGGCGGCAAAUUGUGAGAGGGCGGCACAGGGGCUUGAAAUUUUGAUUGGGGGG